rnacentral:rRNA from 1 species
UUGACCUCGGAUCAGGUAGGGAUACCCGCUGAACUUAAGCAUAUCAAUAAGCGGAGGAAAAGAAACCAACAGGGAUUGCCCUAGUAACGGCGAGUGAAGCGGCAAGAGCUCAAAUUUGAAAGCUGGCUCCUUCGGGGUCCGCAUUGUAAUUUGCAGAGGAUGCUUCGGGAGUGGCCCCUGUCUAAGUGCCCUGGAACGGGCCGU